UACGUAGGGUACGAGCGUUGUCCGGAAUUAUUGGGCGUAAAGAGCUCGUAGGCGGUUUGUCGCGUCUAUCGUGAAAGACCAGGGCUCAACCCUGGUUCUGCGGUGGGUACGGGCAGACUAGAGUGAUGUAGGGGAGACUGGAAUUCCUGGUGUAGCGGUGAAAUGCGCAGAUAUCAGGAGGAACACCGGUGGCGAAGGCGGGACUCUGGGCUGUAACUGACACUGAGGAGCGAAAGCAUGGGGAGCGAACAGG
rnacentral:rRNA from 1 species